rnacentral:rRNA from 1 species
CACGUAGGGGGCAAGCGUUGUCCGGAUUCAUUGGGCGUAAAGAGCUCGUAGGCGGUUCGAUAAGUCGGGUGGGAAACCUCCAGGCUCAACCUGGAGACGCCACCCGAUACUGUCGUGACUAGAGCCCAGUAGGGGAGCGUGGAAUUCCUGGUGUAGCGGUGAAAUGCGCAGAUAUCAGGAGGAACACCGGUGGCGAAGGCGCCACUCUGGGCCGAAACUGACGCUGAGGAGCGAAAGCGUGGGUAGCAAACAGG